rnacentral:rRNA from 1 species
AACGAACGCUGGCGGCAUGCCUAACAUAUGCAAGUCGAACGAGAUCUUCGGGUCUAGUGGCGCACGGGUGCGUAACGCGUGGGAAUCUGCCCUUUGGUUCGGAAUAACAGUUGGAAACGACUGCUAAUACCGGAUGAUGACGAAAGUCCAAAGAUUUAUCGCCAGGGGAUGAGCCCGCGUAGGAUUAGCUAGUUGGUGUGGUAAAGGCGCACCAAGGCGACGAUCCUUAGCUGGUCUGAGAGGAUGAUCAGCCACAAUGGGACUUAGACACGGCCCAAACUCCGACGGGAGGCAGCAGGGGGGAAGAUUGGGUAAGGGGGCGGUGCCUGAUACAGCAAUGCCGCGUGAGGUAAUAAGGGCUUAGGGUUGUAAAGCUCUUUUACCCGGGAGGAUAAUGACAGUACCGGGAGAAUAAGCUCCGGCUAACUCCGUGCCAGCAGCCGCCGUAA